rnacentral:tRNA from 2 species
GCGCCCGUAGCUCAGUCGGAUAGAGCACCCGCCUUCUAAGUGGGUGGUCGCAGGUUCGAGUCCUGCCGGGCGCGCCA